rnacentral:rRNA from 1 species
GACGUAGGGCGCGAGCGUUGUCCGGAUUUAUUGGGCGUAAAGAGCUCGUAGGCGGCUCAUUGCGUCAACCGUGAAAACCUGCAGCUUAACUGUGGGCUUGCGGUUGAUACGGGUGGGCUGGAGUUCGGUAGGGGAGACUGGAAUUCCUGGUGUAGCGGUGAAAUGCGCAGAUAUCAGGAGGAACACCGGUGGCGAAGGCGGGUCCCUGGGCCGAUACUGACGCUGAGGAGCGAAAGCGUGGGGAGCGAACAGG